rnacentral:misc_RNA from 1 species
GUAACAAGGUCUCCGUUGGUGAACCAGCGGAGGGAUCAUUACUGAGUUUACGCUCCAUAACCCUUUGUGAACAUACCUAUAACUGUUGCUUCGGCGGGUAGGGUCUCCGUGACCCUCCCGGCCUCCCGCCCCCGGGCGGGUCGGCGCCCGCCGGAGGAUAACCAAACUCUGAUUUAACGACGUUUCUUCUGAGUGGUACAAGCAAAUAAUCAAAACUUUUAACAACGGAUCUCUUGGUUCUGGCAUCGAUGAAGAACGCAGCGAAAUGCGAUAAGUAAUGUGAAUUGCAGAAUUCAGUGAAUCAUCGAAUCUUUGAACGCACAUUGCGCCCGCCAGCAUUCUGGCGGGCAUGCCUGUUCGAGCGUCAUUUCAACCCUCAAGCUCUGCUUGGUGUUGGGGCCCUACAGCUGAUGUAGGCCCUCAAAGGUAGUGGCGGACCCUCCCGGAGCCUCCUUUGCGUAGUAACUUUACGUCUCGCACUGGGAUCCGGAGGGACUCUUGCCGUAAAAACCCCAAAUUUCCAAAGGUUGACCUCGGAUCAGGUAGGAAUACCCGCUGAACUUAAGCAUAUCAAUA